rnacentral:rRNA from 1 species
CCAAUAGCGUAUAUUAAGGUUGCUGCGGUUAAAAAGCUCGUAGUUGAAUUUCGGGAUUGAUGCAUCGGUCGUGCCUUAAGGGGUAUGAACUGGUGUAGCCAAUUUCUUACCUUCUGGUGAAUUGUGAUGUCCUCCUUAAUUGGGUGUUUCAAUGAACUAGGACUUUUUACUUUGAAAAAAUUAGAGUGUUUAAAGCAGGCAUUAUUUGCUUGAAUACAUUAGCAUGGAAUAAUAAAAUAGGACAAUGAUUCUAUUUUGUUGGUUUCUAGGAUCACUGUAAUGAUUAAUAGGGAUAUUUGGGGGCAUUAGUAUUCAAUUGUCAGAGGUGAAAUUCUUGGAUUAAUUGAAGACUAACUACUGCGAAAGCAUUUGCCAAGGAUAUUUUCAUUAAUCAAGAACGAAAGUUAGGGGAUCGAAGACGAUUAGGUACGUCGUAGUCUUAACCAUAAACUAUGCCGACUAGGAAUCAGACAACGUUAAAUUUUUAAUGACUUGUUUGGCACCUUACG